UUUUUUUUUUUUUUUUAUCCCAGACGCCAUCUUUCAGCCUGGCUGCUGUUGUGUGGACUCCACACCUUUAAAAUGAAUCAUGGUAUCAUGGUCAUUGUGCCACAGGUGUGUAGCUGUCCCCGAUAAUGGAUUAAUGUUCAGACCUCCUCAGUGUGUGCUUUGUGUUUUUGUAGUGAUUGUAUUGUUUGGUAUUUAGUCAGGUUUUGAGACUGAAUCACUUUGUGUACCUGGCGUGAGGUCUGUCAGGUAGUUUUCUACGGUCUGGAUGGAUCAGUGCAUUUGGCCGCAGCAUAAAUCUUUAUAUACCAAUGUUGGUAUACUAGUGUUAAUAUCACACACUCACACAUAGGUUUUAAACCAAUCUGUUUUGUUUUAUGUUUUUGUAUUUUUUAUUCAAUCAUACAUUUAAUCUAAAAUGGCAAUUAAAGUUUUAAAAAGUAAUAUUUUGUCUAACUUGUUAUUUAAAUGUUGAUUACUUUUACUUGUUAAAAUGUAGUAAAAAUAUUUAACAUCUGAAUGUCACUUUGAACACCAUAUCACUUUAUUGUUAAUGUGCUACCGUAUAAUGGGAGGAUGGUUGACAGGCUCUACGGUAGGUUUGUUAAACUGUCUGUGCUUCUGUAACAGUUUAGCUCAUGUUUGUAACAUUUCAUCUGUUUGUGAAAGCAGAAAUUCAGUUAUACCUGGUAUGAUUCUUAGGUGUGUUUUAUGUAAAUGUUUGUACAAUUUAAUAAUCUUCAUGAAUCAGUAUGAAAUGUGUGAUGAGUUGAAUGUUUGCAUAUGUUUCUGGAAACAUUUCCUCACAGUGUCUCUGAUUUGUGAUUUAAGGUGGCCUGUUGAGGUCUGAGCUGCUGGAAGAUAAUUGGGAAAACAUAGAUGAACCAGUGGAGGUCAAGCCAAAGUUUGACCAGAAAAAAAGUGCUCAAAGUCAAAGUAGAGAAGCUAAAGAAAGUUUUGAGUGGAAGGUUAACUGAGAGCGACAGGAGGAGUACCUUUCUCCUCUUCCAAUACUCCUCACUGUGUUUUUCUGUCUCUACAGUUGAUUUGAUUCCCUUGAAAAAGAUGCAGCCAGUCUUCUCCUCCCACACUGGACCUUUACCUGCUCCACUUUAAUAGCUGGUGUCUGGCAGCAUUGUUGGGCAGUUUUUUGUCUCGUCCAUUUUGGGGGCAGAUCCUCGGUGUGGUAACAGAUAAGAAGCUACAAAGUUGUUACAUUAUUGAUGUUGUGUGCUAAUACAGGUCUGACCUUUCUAAUCAGUCUGUGCUAACAGUUUCAUUACCAAGCAGCGGUAACAGAGACGGGAUGUUCACUGUGAUGGUUACAUUAUCUCAAACUUUCAAGUCGCUGCAAGUUGAUCUAUAAUUCACUAAAAUUAGGGAGGCCUAGGGGGGAGGAAAAGCACUGCAUGAAAGUCUAAUUAUUGGCCGUAAUACAAAGUGGUGUGCUUUGUAACAAAAUAGUGGUGCAUGAAGAAUGCCAUUUAGAGAAUGCCUGAGCAAGACACGGCACAAAAGCAAGCAGAUUAGACUAUGAAGUAAAGUGCAAACCUCUUGACUCUGAACAAUUAUGUCUUGUAUGAAACCACAGCCUCUAUCAUAAUUUAUUCUCUUUUUGCCCCAUCAAAUAUCACUUGUGCCACAUUUUCUCUUUUUCAGCACAACCCAAGCACGACUCCCCCAACAAUAAAUAAAUAGGCAAGUGUGUUUUCACUUUUUGUUUUACCUCCAGUAAUCACAGACACUUUUUAAAAAUGGUUAAAGUAUACAUUGUGUAUUUUCUGCUGUCUGUAUUUAAAAUAGCAUCUAGUGAUCAACCCAAGUAAAGAAAAUGCAAAGCGGAGAGCAGAAUAAAUCCUGCCCAAAUAGUACAUUUACACAAAGGUGUAAAAUAUGAACAAAAACUUAUUUGUAAUAUCACAUCAAAUGUUGUUUGACAGAAUUAGGAUACAUGUCCAGUAAACAGUGCAUCCAAAGAGCAUUUAUAUGCUUAUGUUCAAUAUUCUUAAUUUCUGUUCCUUUUUUUGUUGUUGUUGUUGUUUUGAGCUGACAAAAUGUUGGACUGUACCUCAUAACAGAAUACACAAUAUUAUAUAAAGCAACAUGACAAGAAUUGCAUUGACAGGAUCUAAAAUUUACUUUUGGAUUUUUUUUUCUUUAGUUGGGAAGCAUUAUUUAAUUAAUUCAAGAUGAUUAAGAUUCACUGAAUUUCUCAUAUUUUGUCAGACAAGGGCAAAUGUGUGCUACAUACAGCAUAACAACCCACCAGAAAUACAAAUGCAAUCACACACGCACAACAAAAUGGCCCCUAUGAGCUUUGUGAAAUGCAAAUGUGUGACCUGACAGGGAACCUAACUUUCGUUUACAAGACAAACAAAAGCAGGCAUGUUUUCUUAAACUCUGCAAAGAAUGCCCUUUUCUCUCUCCGUCUUCUCCUUUCUUCUGUCCAGUGUGUGUGGUGGCAUUUCUGCUGAUAAGACCCAACCAGGAGGUGGAACAGAUGUUGCCCUGACAUCCAUCUGGGCCUUGUACCGCGGCUCUGCCUCCCACAGCCGAUGCUCCAAGCAGGGCACCCCACACUCCCGGCCCUUCACAGCAAGGGGUCAUUUCCAGUGGAAAAAAAGAAAACAAGCUGUUCUUCUCGGGAUCCUCAAGCAGUGACGCAGCACAGAAAUCCACCUUGAUGCUGCUUUCACUCAAGAUGUGCAGCAGGAGAUUCCUCAGAGCUGAUACUGAAUUUAAAGAGUUCCUCCUGUCAUGCAUGUGAUCCCACAGAUCUGGCCUAAUGAGCGCUCUGCCUUCCCAGACUUCAUCCACUCCUGCAGAUUUACAAACCAGGAUCUUCACAAAUUCAAGUGAAAAAUCAGCUCUGCAGCUGAUCCACACCAGCUAAAUCCUCACAGAACAGGCUGCCAACCAUUUUCAGUGGGACCACAAGGGGUAAGUAAAAAUAAAUAAAACUGUUCUUGUAAUUCAGGGGAACUGACCCUUAAUGUAAGUGUUAUCAACAAAUGGGGUACUUUACAUCUUAUACACGGUGGGUGAAAAGUAACUAGGCAUUAAAAAUUGGCUAUAGAACUAUAUCUUUGGCCAUUACUGACCUGAUGG